rnacentral:RNase_P_RNA from 1 species
AGGGCAAAAUAGAUAGUCGCUUUAAAAAAAAUUUAUUUUUUUUAAAGAGGAAAGUCCGAACGCCAUACAGCAAGAUGCUCGUUAACGGCGAGGCAUUGUUAAUGAAAAUUAAUAAUGAUAGAAAGUGUAACAGAAAACAAACCGCUCUUUUUAUUAAAGAGUAAGGGUGAAAAAGCGAGGUAAAAGCUCACUAUAUAUUCCAGCGAUGGGAUAUAUUGACAAACCUCAUCUGGCGCAAGUUCAAGUAAAGUUUAUAUAAAUCAGCUGGGUUUUAAACAGGGUAGAACGCAUGUGUUUUUACACACAAUUUUUUUUGAAAAAAAUUGAGAUAAAUGACUAUCGCUUUUUUAUAAUAGAUAUAAUGUGAUAAAAUAUCCUUUCAUAAAAAAGAACAGAAUUCGGCUUAUUUUUUGCUCUUGAU